rnacentral:rRNA from 1 species
CCAGCAGCCGCGGUAAGACAGAGGUGCCAAGCGUUAGGCGGAAUCACUGGGCUUAAAGCGUGUGUAGGUGGAUGUCUAAGUACCUUGUGAAAUCCCACGGCUCAACCGUGGAACUGCUUGGUAUACUGGAUGUCUUGAGCCACUUAGGGGCUACCGGAACAAAUGGUGGAGCGGUGAAAUGCGUAGAUAUCAUUUGGAACGCCAAUGGAGAAAACAGGUAGCUGGGAGUGUGCUGACACUGAGACACGAAAGCCAGGGGAGCGAACGGGAUUAGAUACCCCGGUAGUCCUGGCCGUAAACGAUGUCCACUAGAUCGUGGUGGCUCUGACGCCAUCAUGGUCGAAGCAAAAGUGCUAAGUGGACCGCCUGGGAAGUACGGUCGCAAGGCUAAAACUCAAAGGAAUUGACGGGGGCUCACACAAGCGGUGGAGCAUGUGGUUCAAUUCGAAGCAACGCGCAGAACCUUACCUGGGCUUGACAUGCUAGGAUUAUCCCUAUGAAAGUAGGGUAGGCCCUUCGUGGUACAACUAGUACAGGUGCUGCAUGGCUGUCGUCAGCUCGUGUCGUGAGAUGUCGGGUUAAGUCCCUUAACGAGCGAACCUUUGCCCUUAGUUACCAGCGAGUAAAGUCGGGGACUCUAAGGGGACUGCCGGUGUCAAACCGGAGGAAGGUGGAGAUGACGUCAAGUCCUCAUGGCCUUUAUGCCCAGGGCCACACACGUGCUACAAUGGCGUUCACAAAGCGACCCUAAAGCGCGAGCUCAUGGAAAUCGCAGAAAUAACGCCCCAGUUCAGAUAGGAGGCUGCAACUCGCCUC